CCAGUGACUUAGUCGUUAAACGGCCGCGGUAUCUUGACCGUGCAAAGGUAGCAUAAUCACUUGUUCUCUAAAUAAGGACUUGUAUGAAUGGCCACACGAGGGUUUUACUGUCUCUUACUUUUAAUCAGUGAAAUUGACCUCCCCGUGAAGAGGCGGGGAUAAUAAAAUAAGACGAGAAGACCCUAUGGAGCUUUAAUUAAUCAACUCAAAAAAAUCGCAAAACAGUACCACUAAGGGAUAACAAAAUUUUAUAUGAGUUGACAAUUCGGUUGGGGUGACCUCGGAGUAUAAAAAACCCUCCGAGUGAUUAAAACCUAGGCCUACUAGCCAAAGUGUAACAUCACUUAUUGAUCCAAAUUUUUGAUCAACGGAACAAGUUACCCUAGGGAUAACAGCGCAAUCCUAUUCUAGAGUCCGUAUCGACAAUAGGGUUUACGACCUCGAUGUUGGAUCAGGACAUCCUGAUGGUGCAGCAGC
rnacentral:rRNA from 1 species